CCUACGGGAGGCAGCAGUAGGGAAUAUUGCUCAAUGGGGGAAACCCUGAUGCAGCAACGCCGCGUGGAGGAAGAAGCUUUUCGGAUUGUAAACUCCUUUUGUGAAAGAAGAUAAUGACGGUAUCUCACGAAUAAGCACCGGCUAACUCCGUGCCAGCAGCCGCGGUAAUACGGAGGGUGCAAGCGUUAUUCGGAAUCACUGGGCGUAAAGAGUGCGCAGGCGGGCUUGUAAGUCAGAUGUGAAAUCCUGUAGCUUAACUACAGAACUGCAUUUGAAACUAUGAGUCUAGAGUGUGGGAGAGGUAGGUGGAAUUCUUGGUGUAGGGGUAAAAUGCGUAGAUAGCAAGAGGAAUACUGAUGGCGAAGGCGACCUACUGGAAUACUACUGACGCUGAUGCACGAAAGCGUGGGGAGCAAACAGGAUUAGAUACCCGGGUAGUC
rnacentral:rRNA from 1 species